UAAGGCAAAUCUUAUAGCUUUUGUGUGAUUGUAGUUCUUCCUCAGCCCGGCCACGAACUCGGUUUCUCCAAUUUGAUAGCGUGCUACUGGUUCUUGAUCCUUCGGCUGCUUCCUCCCCAUCUCUCUCAGCCCAUGGGUACCAAGGCCAUGUCAGAUUUCCUUGCUUGCCCUCUGCUUCCGUUUCCAUUUUCCCUGUGCCAUUUUAGCUUCAAACGCUUAUUACCUGAUCCCUCAUCCAGAAAUAAUAAAUUCAGUUGAACUUCCAAAAUUUGUUCUUUGCUUAGGUCGCUGGAUGCACAAUGUCCUCUUCUUCCUUCUCUCGACUUCCAGAAACUUUUCUUUGCAUAGGGAGGCAUUUGUGGUCAAUGAGACACCCGUAUUCAUGAAUAAGCCUCCUCCACAUGUAUUUAAACUGAUGUCUCUACCAUCAAUGAUUAUAAAGCUCACUUUGGGUUUGCUCUGGUGCAUCAUCCACUUAGCAAUCAGCCUUUUAAGCUUAUGUUCUCAUCUGAUUUUCAAUCUAGAGUGUUCUCUUAUUUCAUCUGGGUUGUUGUGGAAGUAUCGGAAUCUCCAACUGGGGAGACUCAAAUACCUCGCUAUCGUGGUAGAUAGCAGAGAAGCUAAGAAUACCGUGAAGAUCAAUCAGCUGUUAUAUUGGCUCAAAACUCUUGGUGUGAAGUAUGUGUGUCUCUAUGACAUUGACGGAGUGCUGAAGAAAUUGUUUGCACCUGGUAUGAAUGGCUCAAGAGAUAACAACCCCGGAGAUUAUUUGGAUGCCAGUGCAAAUAUCAAAGCCUUAGACUGUUGUCAGAAACAGAUGACGAUAGAGUGUAUUUCUGGUUCUGAUGGCAAAGAGGGCAUUGCUAAAGCAGCCAACUUACUUUGCUCCAGUUAUUUAAACGGUGAUAGCUAUACUCAAGAGAAUGUCAAAAGUGAAGAGAAUGUCAAAAGUGAAGAGAAUGUCGAAAAUGAGCCAGUAUUUACAGAAACUGACAUGGCCAGCGCACUGAAAUCCAUAGAUGCCAUUUAGGCUUUCCUACAUGGAGAUUGCGGUAUACUGAGAUUAUGCAUAUGGGACCUCUGAAAUCAAUGAAAUACGGCGCCAUUGUGAAAGCCUUCCAUAACUACUCAAAGAAACACCAAAACUAUGGUAAAUGAGAGCUGAUACUUGUAUACUGAAGACCAGGCUGUUGUGUAGAAAAGCACUCCUGGAACUGGAAGCUUGACAACUGUUUUGCCUUUCUGUUCGUGAUUAUACUAGUAGAGGUUAGUUAAGAUCAAGUCGCAGAUACCCAUGUUGUAAUAUCUUUUGGCAAGAUUAGAAGUGUUAUUGAUAGAACAUACGGGAAUGGAUCCCAUUGUAAAGCUUGCCUGGUCAUGAAGAUUAAUGAACCUGCUCUUGAGCGAGCACAUAUGGAUUGAUAUCAGCAAUGUUAUGCACCCAAAUCAUGCCGAUC